rnacentral:lncRNA from 1 species
CGCCCCGCCUGUAAUCAGGGUCUGGAGGUGAGAGCCUUUGUGCUCUGCUGGCAGCAUGUGUGGGGCGACCGCCUCGUUAGCGGGGUGCUGGUCAAGAUGCCCCUGGCUGGGAGAGAGGGAGCCUCCCUUGGCCUCUGGGACCUGGGCUGCCCUGUAAGUCAGGGUGUGGCGAUGCCCUUGAGUCCCAGGCCCUUUGCGAUGGAUGCGGCGGGUUGGGGCGCCCUGUAAGCAGGGGAGCCGACCCUCAGCCCGCUGCUUUGUGUGCCCAGCCUUCUUUGCCCAGGGUGCCCCCCUCUGCGGCCUGCUGCAGCACCGUUGGGAACCCCGCGGGGCAUCAGUAGGGAGCUGCUGCAGGAGGAAGGCGGCAAAGCGGUGCGUGGACCUGGGAGGAAGCAGCGGGCAAGAAGAGGGCCCAGGAAGUGAUUACUUUGUUUUAGCUGUUUUUAUUCCUGUUUUCUUUUUCUCCUUGUUUGUGUAAUGUUUGUUUAGUUACUAGCUGUUGAAUGC